AUUGAACGCUGGCGGCAGGCCUAACACAUGCAAGUCGAGCGAGAGGCGGACGGGUGAGUAAUGUAUGGGGACUGCCCGGUAGAGGGGGAUAACUAAUGGAAAAGGUGGCUAAUACCGCAUACUAUCGGAUAACGCAUCUGUGAUUAGCUAGUAGGUUGGGUAAAGGCUCACCUAGGCGACGAUCUCUAGCUGGUCUGAGAGGAUGAUCAGCCCCACUGGUACUUAGACACGGCCCAGACUCCUACGGUGGCAGCAGUGUGGAAUAUUGCACAAUUGGCGCAAGCCUAAUGCAGCCCUGCCGCGUGUAUGAAGCAGGCCUUAGGGUUUUAAAGUACUUUCAGCGUGGCGGCGUUACCCGCAGAAGAAGCACCGGCUAACUCCGUGCCAGCAGCCGCGGUAAUAC
rnacentral:rRNA from 1 species